rnacentral:rRNA from 1 species
GACAGAGGUGCCGAGCGUUAGGCGGAAUCACUGGGCUUAAAGCGUGUGUAGGCGGGUCGUUAAGUGUCUUGUGAAAUCCCACCGCUCAACGGUGGAACUGCUGGGCACACUGGCGAUCUUGAGCCACCUAGGGGCAGACGGAACAAGCGGUGGAGCGGUGAAAUGCGUAGAUAUCGCUUGGAACGCCGACGGUGAAAACAGUCUGCUGGGGGUGUGCUGACGCUGAGACACGAAAGCCAGGGGAGCGAACGGG